GGUAAUUCAAGAGGCAAAAAAAAACUCAUUGUAGUCCCAACAACAUUAGUUCCACCUAUAGCACUUUUGGCUAAAGUACAUUACAGCCAGAAACUUGCCAAAAA